UACCUGCGUUAAUCCAAGUUUCAUCUUGU
rnacentral:sRNA from 1 species